CCCUACGCCAUCUUCCAUUCCCCUAUCUUCUCCUUUGCCAAAUCAUAACACACAAACAUCUAUAUGUCACCAUAUCCACCCACCGCCUUCCAUCACGAUCUCCGCCAUCAACACUAUCGGCUCCGUCCAUUACCACCACUGCCAUAAAUUCAUCUAACAAAUCAGUUCGUUCCUCCACCCCCAACAAUCUCCACCAUCGCCGCCAUCAAUCAUCUAACAUUCUAACACCAUCGGCGGUAGUCAACCAAACAUUUGGGUGCCGCCAUUCAAUCACCACCAUCCCUGAAUCGUUUCGAACAGAGGAUCGCCGCCAUCAAUCACGUUGGAUGUAUCUUUCGCUUAUUUCGAUGAUUAUAUGAACCAAUUCAUGGUUUGUUGACCCUGCAAAAGCUUUGUGCACGUUGGAUGGUCAAAUUAUGCCUGUCAAGUUGGAGACUUCUAGGCUAUUAGUUGAGUUAUUCUUUGUAAUAUACAUUGCAGGCCAAAAUUGGUUGAGUCGGAUAGUGCGCAACAGGUUAAGAGAAAGCUUUUCAGGAGCUGCUUUUCUGUUAUCAAAUAUGUGCUUUGUCUUAGGAUGUGUUAUUUUUGAUGGGCAGGGUGUCUUACCUGCUUCUAUUUCUUUGAGAUUCAUCUUUUGAUUAAUAGUUUGUUUUUAUGCAGAAGCUAUGACUUCUUAACGAGGCAGCAAAAUACUCUGAUGGUAGCUCCACAAAAGAUUAUGGACAUUGUUAGGGAAAGCAUGUUUAAAAGUGCAACCAUCAAGCUUUUACUCUAAUUCACCCUUUUGUCUAAUUUUGUUUAGGCAUGUUUAUAGUCUAAUACUUGGAGACCAUUCAUUUUUCUUUAAAUGGAUUUUGUUUUCUGAAAAAGAAUAUAACUGUCUUUCAUUUUUAA